UACGGGGGGAGCAAGCGUUGUUCGGAUUUACUGGGCGUAAAGGGCGCGUAGGCGGCCUGUGCAAGUCAGUUGUGAAAUCUCCGAGCUUAACUCGGAACGGUCAACUGAUACUGCUCGGCUAGAGUGCGGAAGGGGCAACUGGAAUUCUUGGUGUAGCGGUGAAAUGCGCAGAUAUCAGGAGGAACACCAAUAGCGAAGGCAGCUCGCUGGGACGUGACUGACACUAAGGCGCGAAAGCGUGGGGAGCGAACAGG
rnacentral:rRNA from 1 species